CAAAUCUACAGUGAUGUACGACUGACUGAACCGUAAGAAGUCAGCCGAGGUCAUAGUACCGGAUACGGGAAGGAC
rfam:Natranaerobius trueperi strain DSM 18760 ZB100009, whole genome shotgun sequence.